rnacentral:rRNA from 1 species
UACGUAGGUGGCAAGCGUUACUCGGAAUUACUAGGCGUAAAGAGCAGGUAGGCGGUUGGAUAAGUUUCUUGUGAAAGCUCCCGGCUUAACUGGGAGAGGUCAAGGAAUACUGUCUGACUUGAGUGCGGUAGGGGAAGCUGGAAUUCCCGGUGUAGCGGUGAAAUGCGUAGAUAUCGGGAGGAAUACCAAUGGCGAAGGCAAGCUUCUGGGCCGUCACUGACGCUGAGCUGCGAAAGCUAGGGGAGCAAACAGG